GCAUAUCAAUAAGCGGAGGAAAAGAAACCAACAGGGAUUACCUCAGUAACGGCGAGUGAAGCGGUAACAGCUCAAAUUUGAAAGCUCGCUCUUUUAGGGUGCGCAUUGUAAUUUGUAGAAGAUGCUUCGGGUGUGGCCCCGGUCUAAGUUCCUUGGAACAGGACGUCAUAGAGGGUGAGAAUCCCGUAUGUGACUGGGUGCUUUCGCUCAUGUGAAGCUCUUUCGACGAGUCGAGUUGUUUGGGAAUGCAGCUCAAAAUGGGUGGUAAAUUUCAUCUAAAGCUAAAUAUUGGCCAGAGACCGAUAGCGCACAAGUAGAGUGAUCGAAAGAUGAAAAGCACUUUGGAAAGAGAGUUAAACAGUACGUGAAAUUGUUGAAAGGGAAGCGCUUGCAACCAGACUUGCGCGCUGACGAUCAUCCGGGCUUCUGCCCGGUGCACUCGUCUGUGCUCAGGCCAGCAUCGGUUUCGGUGGUGGGAUAAAGGCCUUGGGAAUGUAGCUUCUUUCGGGGAGUGUUAUAGCCCUCGGUGCAAUGCCGCCUACCGGGACCGAGGACCGCGCUUCGGCUAGGAUGCUGGCGUAAUGGUUGUAAGCGACCCGUCUUGAAACACGGACC
rnacentral:rRNA from 1 species